GAUGAACGCUGGCGGCGUGCCUAACACAUGCAAGUCGAGCGAGGUUUAGGCUUCGGCCGACGACCUAGCGGCGAACGGUCGCGUAACACGUAAGCAACCUGCCCUAAAGUUGGGGAUAGCCCGCCGAAAGGCAGAUUAAUACCGAAUGUGGAUAUGUAUUCGCAUGUAUAUAUACCUGAAGCAGCGAUGCGCUUUAGGAUGGGCUUGCGGCCUAUCAGUUAGUUGGUGUGGGUAACGGCCUACCAAGACGACGACGGGUAGCUGGUCUGAGAGGAUGGUCAGCCGGAUUGGGACUGAGACACGGCCCAGACUCCUACGGGGGGCAGCAAUUAGGAAUCUUGCGCAAUGGGCGAAAGCCUGACGCAGCGACGCCGCGUGACUGAUGAAGUCUUUCGAGAUGUAAAGGUCUUUUGUUGGGGACGAAGGAAGUGACGGUACCCGACGAAUAAGCCCCGGCUAACUACGUG
rnacentral:rRNA from 1 species